rnacentral:misc_RNA from 1 species
UUCACACAAUUCAAACAAGUCAAGUCAUAAUCACACCAAACACAAUCUAGAGCACUCACAUACUUACACAUAUAUAUAUGGGAUCUGAUCCCCUAUACAGCUCUUUUAGUUUCAACCUCUGCCAACAAGAUCAACUCAAAGCUGGAUUUUCUCUUAAUAUCCAAAUGUGGGGGCCAGUAAGAUCAACUCGAGCCGUGCUUACCCCGACUUAUCC